AUGGGUUCGGGCUUUUCUUGCGCAGACUAGGUGGGAGGCUAUGAAGAAAUACUUCUGGGUAUUUUGGAGCCAUCAGUGAGAGACCACUCUGGAAAAGCUAGAAUUCUAAUGGCGUUCCUUGAAGCAGGACGCUUGACAGUUUCAGGUGGGCAGUUUGACUGGGGCGGUCACCUCCUAAAAGGUAACGGAGGUGUGCAAAGGUUCCCUCAGGCUGGACGGAAAUCAGCCGUAGAGUGUAAAGGCAGAAGGGAGCUUGACUGCAAGACCUACAAGUCGAGCAGGGGCGAAAGCCGGCCUUAGUGAUCCGACGGUUCCGUGUGGAAGGGCCGUCGCUAAACGGAUAAAAGUUACUCUAGGG
rnacentral:rRNA from 1 species